rnacentral:siRNA from 1 species
AUUAUUACUGAUCAGUAAAAU